CAGCCGCCGCGGGAAUACGAAGGGGGCUAGCGUUGCUCGGAAUGACUGGGCGUAAAGGGCGCGUAGGCGGCGAUCAAAGUCAGGCGUGAAAUUCCUGGGCUCAACCUGGGGGCUGCGUUUGAUACUUGAUUGCUAGAGUGGGGAAGAGGGUCGUGGAAUUCCCAGUGUAGAGGUGAAAUUCGUAGAUAUUGGGAAGAACACCGGUGGCGAAGGCGGCGACCUGGUCCUUGACUGACGCUGAGGCGCGAAAGCGUGGGGAGCAAACAGGAUUAGAUACCCCAGUAGUCCCUGUCUCUUAUAC
rnacentral:rRNA from 1 species